rnacentral:lncRNA from 1 species
UUCCUAUCCUUAGGAGGGUAAAACUGUCCUUACUAUUGAGAAGUAAGUAGUCUUAUCCUUUGGAUGUAAAUGGACAUCGUGGGGUCGUCGAUUGGUCAUUGAAGGUAACAUUUGUAAGGAUACCUUAGCAUUCGAAGAGACGAUCAUCAUUUAAUCGUAGGCUACAACGAAGGGUCAUCGAGGGACAAAGUCAUAUAUUCGAAGACAACGUUUGAGGGACAAGGUCAUAUAUUCGAAGGCAACGUUCGAGGGACUAUGAUUUAU